AGGCAAGUACUUAAUCAACUGAGCCACCCAGGUGCCCCUCACAAUUUUGUUUCUACAGACGAGGAAACUGAGGCCCAGGGAGAGAGAUGGGUGGUUCGAGGUGAUACUGCUGUGCCUGGGCACAGCAAGAACAGCAGAAAUCUCCUGAAUCUUGUUUCGGGGUGUCCAGCACCACGGGGUACUACCUUCCUGGAUCUAUCAGAGUCUUGCAGAAAGUCCAGAGUCUCAUGGAUGGAACAAAUGUCUUUGGAGGAAAUCAGCCACCAGGAGCUAAGAAUCUGUAUUUGGUAUCUUCAGCACUGCUGGAGGUGGUGAAAGAGGAGAGAGAACAGACACAAAAAGACUGAGGCUGAGCCCCAGUCAAAGGGUGGGGUUGGAAACUUUCGGGUUGCUUGGUGGUAUUUUGAGACCUCAGUUGACUUUAAUGACUUCCUCUGUAAGAAUAAGAUAAGCAGACAAGACUGGGGCCCCAGUAGCAUCAAGAGUUGAUUCUCAAGUUGAUUCUCCAAGAUCAUACCUGUCACAACCACAGUGCAUGGAGGGAACAUGUGGAUGUUGAGUGUGGACCUUGCCCUUAGCCAGGGGUUGGUUAGAAGGAUGGCUGGGAGGGGAUCCCCGGGUGGCUCAGGGAUUUAGCGCCUAGGGCAUGAUCCUGGAGUCCUGGGAUCAAUCCAUCCCUGCAUGGAGCCUGCUUCUCCCUCUGCCUGUGUCUCUGUCUCUGUCUCUCUCUGUAUCUCAUAAACAAAUUUAAAAAAAUUAAAAAAAAGAAGGAUGGCUGGAUGGGUGUCACAGCUUCUGUGUCAUCUCCUUCUUCAAAGGGUCUCUUUCCCUGUUUUUAAGAGCCUAGUGUUAAGACGAUUCCUACACCAGGCUGGCAGGGAACAACCAUGAACCACAUAAAUAUAUCCAUUAAAACCAAACUAAAUGUAUCUUCAACUCAAUUUCUUCUCAGGUGGAUCUUCAAAAUGCAACUUGUUCCUCCAACAUGAAGUAUGAUGGAGGGGAGGCUGGAAUGCAAAGAAACAAGACUCAACCAAUAGCAAUUCUAAUAUCUUGCUCUUGAAAAUUUUACAAAA
rnacentral:lncRNA from 1 species